GCGGGGUAGUUUCUGCCGGUAGAAAUUCGUGGCUCUGAACCACGCGUCCGCAGGUUCGAGUCCUGCCCCCUGCA
rnacentral:tRNA from 1 species